rnacentral:rRNA from 1 species
GACGAACGCUGGCGGCGUGCUUAACACAUGCAAGUCGAACGAAGUGGCGAACGGGUGAGUAACGCGUAAUCAACCUGCCCUUCAGAGGGGGACCACAGUUGGACACGACUGCUCAUACCGCAUACUGAAGGAGGGGAUUUCGUCUGCUUGGCUAGUUGGAGGGGUAACGGCCAACCAAGGCGAGGAUCAGUAGCCGGGCUGAUAGGGUGAACGGCCACAUUGGGACUGAGACACGGCCCAGACUCCUACGGGAGGCAGCAGUGGGGAAUCUUCCGCAAUGGACGAAAGUCUGACGGAGCAACGCCGCGGGAGUGAUGACGGCUUUCGGGUUGUAAAGCUCUGUUAAUCGGGACGCGGUACCGGAAUAGAAAGCCACGGCUAACUACGUGCCAGCAGCCGCGGUAAUUC